rnacentral:rRNA from 1 species
UACGUAGGGCGCAAGCGUUGUCCGGAAUUAUUGGGCGUAAAGAGCUCGUAGGCGGCUUGUCACGUCGGGUGUGAAAGCCCGGGGCUUAACCCCGGGUCUGCAUUCGAUACGGGCAGGCUAGAGUGUGGUAGGGGAGAUCGGAAUUCCUGGUGUAGCGGUGAAAUGCGCAGAUAUCAGGAGGAACACCGGUGGCGAAGGCGGGACUCUGGGCCGAUACUGACGCUGAGGAGCGAAAGCGUGGGGAGCGAACAGG